UACUGAAUAGUAAUGAGAAGUUAGGUUGAAAGGACAGUGCCACAAUGAUGACAUCAUAUUUGCUACUCUUGACAGCUGGGGUGACGAUAGCUUUAAACCACCAUGAUUAUAACUGAGGCACACAAAAUAAUGAUUUGGGGGCUACUUACAGAGUAAGCAGUUUUUACAUAAAGAUUUCCCCCUCAGGACUCGUCAGGAAGCUGGAUAACAGAACGAGCGCAAUGUAAGUAAUUUUGUGUGUGCAUGUGGUCCCAUUACAAGGAAUACCCAAUGGCAAAUGAGCACUAAAGAUCCCUCAACCCACACAUUGAAUGUAUUGUUCCCUGAGAGCAAUUGUAGAUAGAGGAGUGGGUGGGAAGUCUGAAGUCAGGGCAUUGUUUCUGCGUAUCUGAGUAGGCUGGUUUUUGAUAUUUGUGGGAGCUAGUGGUCGUUAACUCAUUUACCCCCUAUUUGGUGGACUCUGGUUCCCCCAUCUUAAGUGCUGAGUCAGGGGCCUAACCGGGCAGCUUUAACUAUUUGUUUGUUGUAGGUGCUAGAAGACCAGAAAAUGAAAUGGUGGAGUUUGAGGCUGGAUAGACAGUUUGAAAGGUAAGUAUUGAAAAACACUUGAAUUUGGGUCAGUAC
ensembl:processed_transcript Gas5 growth arrest specific 5